rnacentral:tRNA from 1 species
GGAAGGAUGCCGGAGUGGUUAAACGGGGCGGUUUGCUAAACCGUUGGUUCGAAAGAGCCACGUGGGUUCGAAUCCCACUCCUUCCG